rnacentral:rRNA from 1 species
ACGGAAGGCAGCAGUGGGGAAUAUUGCACAAUGGGCGCAAGCCUGAUGCAGCGACGCCGCGUGAGUGAAGAAGUAUUUCGGUAUGUAAAGCUCUAUCAGCAGGGAAGAUAAUGACAGUACCUGACUAAGAAGCUCCGGCUAAAUACGUGCCAGCAGCCGCGGUAAUACGUAUGGAGCAAGCGUUAUCCGGAUUUACUGGGUGUAAGGGGAGCGUAGGUGGUGUGGCAAGUCAGAUGUGAAAGCCCGGGGCUUAACCUCGGGACUGCAUUUGAAACUGCCAUACUAGAGUGCAGGAGAGGUAAGUGGAAUUCCUAGUGUAGCGGUGAAAUGCGUAGAUAUUAGGAGGAACACCAGUGGCGAAGGCGGCUUACUGGACUGUAACUGACACUGAGGCUCGAAAGCGUGGGGAGCAAACAGGAUUAGAUACCCUGGUA